UCAAAAAGAUGAACACGAAGCACUUAGCCCAUAUUUAUACAUUAGACAUCAAAGUCACAUACAUGUGAAAUCAUGCAUCAACACAACAUAUUAGCUAAUUUUUUCCCCCUUGGCCGAAUAUGCAUGUCUAUUUUUGGGGUCGAUUUCAACACUUAAUACACACAUAUACACACUAGUAAAGCAUCCACCCCCUUUCCAUCAAUUUAACACAUGCAUUGCUCAUUAACAUGCAAAGUUACAUUCGGCCUUAGCACACAACUUGCUAGUCGAUUCUUCUCCAUUUAGCAACCAAUGCACAUAUGUGCUCACACAAAAAUGCUAAAAAGGAGGUUCAAGAAUCAUCAAGUCAUCAUCACAUGCAUCAUUAACAAACUUCAUAUUUAGCAUGCAAUGGCAUUAACACAACCUCCACCUAGGCCGAAUUUUAACUCAUCCUCUUGCCUCAUCACCACCACAUCAAACAUCAACCAAGAAUGAUGCAUCCAUGGUCAAAUGUCAUUUCCAUCACAUAGCAAGAUUUAGACCAUGGGCUAGGUAGAACUCAAGCUAACAACUAAAACAUGCAUGCAUCUCAUGGAACAUCAUCAACAUACCUUAGCCUAGCUACAUGCAUGGCCGAAUCUCUUCACCUUUCUUCUUC
rnacentral:lncRNA from 1 species